GACGAACGCUGGCGGCGUGCUUAACACAUGCAAGUCGAACGGACAGGCCCUGCUUUUGUGGGGUGCUCGAGUGGCGAACGGGUGAGUAACACGUGUGUAACCUGCCCUUGCCUUUGGGAUAACUUAAGGAAACUGGGGCUAAUACCGGAUAGGAGCUCCUGCUGCAUGGUGGGGGUUGGAAAGUUUCGGCGGUUGGGGAUGGACUCGCGGCUUAUCAGCUUGUUGGUGGGGUAGUGGCUUACCAAGGCUUUGACGGGUAGCCGGCCUGAGAGGGUGACCGGCCACAUUGGGACUGGGAUACGGCCCGGACUCCUACGGGAGGCAGCGGAGGGGAAGAGUGCACAAGGGGCGGAAGCCUGAUGCAGCAACGCCGCGUGCGGGAUGACGGCCUUCGGGUUGUAAACCGCUUUCGCCUGUGACGAGGCGUGAGUGACGGUAAUGGGUAAAGAAGCACCGGCUAACUACGUG
rnacentral:rRNA from 1 species